rnacentral:rRNA from 1 species
CACCCUUGUGUAUUAUUACCUUGUUGCUUUGGCGGUGCCGCGUGNCUUCGGCCGCGCCUUGGGCUCUCGAGCCCGAGUGUGCCCGCCAGAGGAAACCUAAACUCUGAAUAUUUUUGUCGUCUGAGUACUAUAUAAUAGUUAAAACUUUCAACAACGGAUCUCUUGGUUCUGGCAUCGAUGAAGAACGCAGCGAAAUGCGAUAAGUAAUGUGAAUUGCAGAAUUCAGUGAAUCAUCGAAUCUUUGAACGCACAUUGCGCCCCUUGGUAUUCCGGGGGGCAUGCCUGUUCGAGCGUCAUUUCAACCCUCAAGCUCUGCUUGGUAUUGAGCCCCGCCAGCGAUGGCGGGCUCUAAAAUCAGUGGCGGCGCCGCUGGGUCCUGAGCGUAGUAAUUCUCUCGCUACAGGGUCCCCGCGUGCUUCUGCCACCAACCCCAAAUUUUCUAUGGUUGACCUCGGAUCAGGUAGGGAUACCCGCUGAACUUAAGCAUAUCAA